GAUGAACGCUGGCGGCGUGCUUAACACAUGCAAGUCGAACGGGAAACCUUUUAUUGCCGCUUCUGCAGAUUUAGCUGGUUUCUAGUGGCGGACGGGUGAGUAACGCGUGGGUAACCUGCCUUAUACAGGGGGAUAACAACCAGAAAUGGUUGCUAAUACCGCAUAAGCGCACAGGACCGCAUGGUCCGGUGUGAAAAACUCCGGUGGCAUAAGAUGGACCCGCGUUGGAUUAGCUAGUUGGCAGGGUAACGGCCUACCAAGGCGACGAUCCAUAGCUGGCCUGCGAGAGUGAACGGCCACAUUGGGACUGAGCCCCGGCACAGACCCCUACGGGAGGCAGCAGUGGGGAAUCUUGCACAAUGGGGGAAAGCCUGAUGCAGCGACGCCGCGUGAAGGAAGAAGUAUCUCGGUAUGUAAUGUUCUAUGAGCAGGGAAGAUAGUGACGGUACCUGACGAAGAAGCCCCGGCUAACUACGUG
rnacentral:rRNA from 1 species